GGAGGGAGGGUGGGAACUCCACAGGGAAAAUGCUAAAGAGGGGCUGCCUCUGUGGCUGUGGUCAGGAUCCACUGUCCUACAGAGAGGGCACUGGCCUGGGAGCUGACACUUCAGAAGAGGAAAGGACUCCCCAGAGCCCCACCCAGCAGAGAGGCAGUGGCGGGCAGUGGACGUGGUCCUAGACUGCUUCCUGGCGAAGGACGGUGGGCACCGUGGAGCUCUCGCCAGCAGUGAGGACAGGGCGAGGGCCUCCCUCGUGCUGAAGCAGGUGCCAGUGCUGGAUGAUGGCUCCCUGGAGGACUUCACCGAUUUCCAAGGGGGCACGCUGGCCCAAGAUGACCCACCUAUUAUCUUCGAGGCCUCAGUGGACCUGGUCCAGAUUCCCCAGGCCGAGGCCUUGCUCCAUGCUGACUGCAGUGGGAAGGAGGUGACCUGCGAGAUCUCCCGCUACUUUCUCCAGAUGAAAGGGACCACUGUGGAGACAGAAGCUUGGUUCAUGGCCAACGUGCAGGUCUCUGGAGGGGGACCUAGCAUCUCCAUGGUGAUGAAGACUCCCAGGGACGCCAAGAAUGAGGCUCUCUGGCACCCGACGCUGAACUUGCCCCUGAGCCCCCAGGGGACUGUGCGAACUGCAGUGGAGUUCCAGGUGAUGACACAGACCCAAUCCCUGAGCCUCCUGCUGGGGUCCUCAGCCUCCUUGGACUGUGGCUUCUCCAUGGCACCGGGCUUGGACCUGAUCAGUGUGGAGUGGCGACUGCAGCACAAGGGCAGGGGUCAGCUGGUGUACAGCUGGACCACAGGGCAGGGGCAGGCUGUGCGGAAGGGCGCUACCCUGGAGCCUGAGCAGCUGGGCAUGGCCAGGAAUGCCUCCCUCACCCUGCCCAGCCUCACUAUACAGGACGAGGGGACCUACAUUUGCCAGAUCACCACCUCUCUGUACCGAGCUCAGCAGAUCAUCCAGCUCAACAUCCAAGCUUCCCCUAAAGUACGACUGAGCUUGGCAAACGAAGCUCUGCUGCCCACCCUCAUCUGCAACAUUGCUGGCUAUUAUCCUCUGGAUGUGGUGGUGACGUGGACCCGAGAGGAGCUGGGUGGAUCCCCAGCCCAAGUCUCUGGUGCCUCCUUCUCCAGCCUCAGGCAAAGCGUGGCAGGCACCUACAGCAUCUCCUCCUCUCUCACCGCAGAACCUGGCUCUGCAGGUGCCACUUACACCUGCCAGGUCAUGCACAUCUCUCUGGAGGAGCCCCUUGGGGCCAGCACCCAGGUUGUCCCACCAGAGCGGAGAACAGCCUUGGGAGUCAUCUUUGCCAGCAGUCUCUUCCUUCUUGCACUGUUGUUCCUGGGGCUUCAGAGACGGCAAGCACCUACAAGAGUUGGGCUGCUUCAGGCUGAACGCUGGAAGACCACUUCCUGUGCUGACACACAGAGCUCGUCUCCAUGAAGACCGCACAGCGUGUGUAAGCCAGCCCAGCUGACCUAAAGCGACAUGAGACUACUAGAAAGAAACGACACCCUUCCUCCCAAGCCCCCCCGGCUACUCCAACCCAAACAACAACCAAGCCAGUUUAGUGGGAGCAAUUUGUAUUUUUUGCCUUUGCUCAGAAU
rnacentral:sRNA from 1 species